UAAGCAUAUCAAUAAGCGGAAGAAAAGAAACCAACCGGGAUUGCCUCAGUAACGGCGAGUGAAGCGGCAAGAGCUCAAAUUUGAAAGCUGGCCCCUUCGGGGUCCGCGUUGUAAUUUGCAGAGGAUGCUUCGGGUGCGGCCCCUGUCUAAGUGCCCUGGAACGGGCCGUCAGAGAGGGUGAGAAUCCCGUCUUGGGCAGGGUGCCCGUGCCCGUGUGAAGCUCCUUCGACGAGUCGAGUUGUUUGGGAAUGCAGCUCUAAAUGGGUGGUAAAUUUCAUCUAAAGCUAAAUACCGGCCGGAGACCGAUAGCGCACAAGUAGAGUGAUCGAAAGAUGAAAAGCACUUUGAAAAGAGAGUUAAACAGCACGUGAAAUUGUUGAAAGGGAAGCGCUUGCGACCAGACUCGGCCCCGGGGUUCAGCCAGCACUCGUGCUGGUGUACUUCCCCGGGGGCGGGCCAGCGUCGGUUUGGGCGGCCGGUCAAAGGCCCCAGGAAUGUAUCGCCCUCCGGGGUUGUCUUAUAGCCUGGGGUGCAAUGCGGCCAGCCCGGACCGAGGAACGCGCUUCGGCACGGACGCUGGCGUAAUGGUCGCAAACGACCCGUCUUGAAACACGGACCAAGGAGUCUAACAUCUACGCGAGUGUUCGGGUGUCAAACCCGUACGCGCAGUGAAAGCGAACGGAGGUGGGAGCCCCCCCGGGGCGCACCAUCGACCGAUCCUGAUGUCUUCGGAUGGAUUUGAGUAAGAGCGUAGCUGUGGGGACCCGAAAGAUGGUGAACUAUGCCUGAAUAGGGCGAAGCCAGAGGAAACUCUGGUGGAGGCUCGCAGCGGUUCUGACGUGCAAAUCGAUCGUCAAAUUUGGGUAUAGGGGCGAAAGACUAAUCGAACCAUCUGGUAGCUGGUUCCUGCCGAAGUU
rnacentral:rRNA from 1 species